GACGGAGGAUGCAAGUGUUAUCCGGAAUCACUGGGCGUAAAGCGUCUGUAGGUGGUUCGAAAAGUCCACUGUUAAAGAUUGAGGCUUAACUUCAAAAAUGCCGUGGAAACUUUCAAACUAGAGUAUGGUAGGGGUAGAGGGAAUUUCCAGUGGAGCGGUGAAAUGCGUAGAUAUCGGAAGGAACGCCGGUGGCGAAAGCGACGUGCUGGACCUCUUCUGACGCUGAGGCGCGAAAGCCAGGGGAGCAAACGGG
rnacentral:rRNA from 1 species